UUUACCCCUUCCCUGGCCCCAGGAUUUAAGAUGUGGAGCUACUAAAGGGGAAGAUGAAAUAUUCCGUAAUAAUACAGCAGACCUGACAACAUUUUGGAAAGUUUUCAGAGAAAAUUCCCAGGUACAAGCAAGGGUCUCUCCAGAAGACUUCCAGCUGUUUUAACACAUACCUGGACUGGGGCUAAUAUAUCUGCCUCCCUGCAGAGCCUGUUUGUUGGUUUGUGUCUAGUUAGCUCUGAGCAGAAGCAGAGUAGAAGGAAAAAGGUAAGUGAGCCUGGCUUUUCCCACCCGUGGAGAGAUGCUCUGCCUUUCUUAUUAAGGUUGUAUCCCCUUCCUCUCCUUUGUUGCUGCAUACUAGUUCACCUCCCGUUGCGUAGAAAGGGCAGGCAUCAUGCUUUAUGAAUUCUUUGCUUUUUAAUUGUUCACUCCCAUCAUCUGGCUAAAACUUCCUCUCAUCAAGUCCCUGCUUGACUGGCUACAAGAUGUCUGCAUUCACCUCCAGGAAGCAAAGAAAGAAUAAGGCAUCUAAUUCACAUGGUUGAAAUUACUUAGGAAACAGAAUGGUCUGUGCUGAUGUGGACUACAGCCAAGAUACUAUAAAAGAUGUCCUUGUUAUUCAAGAGGCACCAAUAGAUGUUUACAUGAUAAAAAAAGGUAAAGACAAAAGUUUUCCACCCGAGAGACACCUACUCCUCUUGUGCGUGUAUUCCUUAUUACUGGCAUUUUGUUUGUUCAUCUAACAAAACAUUGGAGGCUGACUUACUAGAAGCUGAGCUACUUACUUUUUUGUUAAAUCAUUCAUUACUGCAUAAACAUUUUUUUUUUUCCAAUUUAAAAAUGCCCAUCCACCUCCUAUUCAUCUGUGCAGUCUCUCUUGGGGUAAAAUUUCUUUGGAGGAUCUGUUUUAUGACAAUGGUUUUCUAAAUGACAGUGACCAGCUGGGCAUUUAUGACUGUCUCAUGCUGAGCUACACAGAGAUGUUUUGUGACACAUUUCCCUGCCUGGGGAAUAUUCGGGAUAUGGGGGUGGUUUAAAAUGUUUGUUUGAGUGAGAUGAGAAAUGAUCUCACAAGUUGCCGGAAAGGAGCUUAGUGCAAUGGGAGGUAAGAGAGGACGUGUCCAGUAUAAUGAAGAAGGAAUUACUCAUUAGCUCAUAUAAAUAAUAAUAGCAGGUGUGGGUAAUUGCACUUUAGUAAAACUGUAUUUGAAAGCAGUUAAGUUGUAGUUUCUUAGCAACUGCUGCUGACAGCCACAUUUUAAGUGGCCAAGGCUUUCCAAUUAGGCAACACCCAUGCCAUGCUAUGCAACAGCAUUAAAUGGAAACACCAAAGCAGAAGUGUUUUUACUCUCUAAACAGAAACACAACAGAAGGCCAGAGCCACAGAGCAGGUGAUGAAGUAAAAAUAGCAGAAAUUAUAUCUACAUUUCUAGGUAAGCCUUUUCAGGAAGAACUGCUUAGGAAGAACUGUUACGGAGAAAGGCGUGAUCCAUAGCCUACUCAAUGCAAUGGGUAGACUUUAGGGAAUGCUGGCAGGGGCAUAAUUUGUAUUUAGGUAGCUUUGUAAUUUUGUUAACACAUUUUGUUAUGUCUUUUUUUGCAUCUGUCAUUUAAAAUCUCUGUGUGUGUAUAUAUAAGGGCGCAUAUAAGGGUGUGUAUAUAUAAGGGUGCACAUGAAGGAUUUUAUUUUACGUGAAUGAGUGUAUCUAUGUUUAGUGUGAAAUGUAAAUGUUGUAAUUAAUGUUCAUCACUUAAGACCACGCUGCUAACAAGAUGAUUUUGGAUGUUGGAUAAGAACGUUUCAUGGAAGAAGAGUGUGCUAAAGCCAACCAAGAAGAGAUGAAGAAGCAUUAAAGAGAAGUCUGAAGGGUUCAUCUUUUUGGCCAGUUGAAUAAAAUUUACAUUCUCCUAAUUCA